rnacentral:rRNA from 1 species
AAGAUUUAUCGGUACAAGAUGACUAUGCGUCCUAUUAGCUAGAUGGUAAGGUAACGGCUUACCAUGGCAACGAUAGGUAGGGGGUCUGAGAGGAUUAUCCCCCACACUGGGACUGAGACACGGCCCAGACUCCUACGGGAGGCAGCAGUAGGGAAUCUUCCACAAUGGACGAAAGUCUGAUGGAGCAACGCCGCGUGAACGAUGAAGGCUUUCGGGUCGUAAAGUUCUGUUGUAAGGGAAGAACAAGUGCCGCAGGCAAUGGCGGCACCUUGACGGUACCUUGCGAGAAAGCCACGGCUAACUACGUGCCAGCAGCCGCGGUAAUACGUAGGUGGCAAGCGUUGUCCGGAAUUAUUGGGCGUAAAGCGCGCGCAGGCGGCCUCUUAAGUCUGAUGUGAAAGCCCCCGGCUCAACCGGGGAGGGCCAUUGGAAACUGGGAGGCUUGAGUAUAGGAGAGAAGAGUGGAAUUCCACGUGUAGCGGUGAAAUGCGUAGAGAUGUGGAGGAACACCAGUGGCGAAGGCGACUCUUUGGCCUAUAACUGACGCUGAGGCGCGAAAGCG